rnacentral:rRNA from 1 species
GACGAACGCUGGCGGCGCGCUUAACACAUGCAAGUCGAACGGAGCGGACCGGAUCUUGUGGUGUUCUCGAGUGGCGAAAGGGUGAGUAACACGUGAGUAACAUCCCCUUGACUUUGGGAUAACUUCAGGAAAAUCGGGCGAAUACCGGAUAUGAGCUCCUGCUGCGUGGUGGGGGUUGGAAAGUUUGGUUGGUUCGGGUCGGAUUGGAGGCGUAUCAGCUUGUUUGUUGGGUAGUGUAUUACCCAGGCUAGGACGGGUAGCCGGCCUGGGCGGGUGACCGGCCAGGUUGGGACUGGGAUGAGGCCCAGACCCCUACGGGAGGCAGCGGUGGGGAAGAUGGCACAAUGGGCGGAAGCAAGAUGCAGCAACGCCGCGCGGGGGAUGAGGGCCUGCGGGUUGUAAUCCGCUUUCGCCUGGGUCGAAGCGUGAGUGACGGUAAUGGGUAAAGAAGCACCGGCUAACUACGUG